GCGGCAAAGGACGGCAGGGUGGCUCGUUUAAAUGUCCGGGGCUCCCGGUUCCCCCCUUCUGCUCUUCUCCCGCCUCUUUCGCGCCCUGUGUCCCGUGAAGCGCGGCUCUGACCGGAGGCUGACCGAAAGGGAGGGGGCCAAGAUGGCGGCAGCCGCCGGUUAUGAGGGGCUUCACCCGGCCGCGGUGCUCACAGACGAGCUCGACGACGAAGAUGUGCCGGUCAGGAGGCUACGAGCGCCUCGGGGAAGACGUGAGAGGACGUGGGAGGCCCUUGUGGAGGAGGCACCGCGUUGGAGGUCUUCGCUGUGGUGGGAGUGGGAGUGGCCUUUGAAUGACCCUGGGUGGGGGCGAGCAGCUGGCAGGGACCCAGGUAUGUUUUUCCCUUCCUGGGGUUCGGCCGUGGGGCUGCAGCACUGGGGGGGAGGCCCCAGGAAUG
rnacentral:lncRNA from 1 species